AGUGAACGCUGGCGGUAGGCCUAACACAUGCAAGUCGAACGGCAGCACAGUAAGAGCUUGCUCUUACGGGUGGCGAGUGGCGGACGGGUGAGGAAUACAUCGGAAUCUACUUUUUCGUGGGGGAUAACGUAGGGAAACUUACGCUAAUACCGCAUACGACCUACGGGUGAAAGCAGGGGAUCUUUGGACCUUGCGCGAUUGAAUGAGCCGAUGUCGGAUUAGCUAGUUGGCGGGGUAAAGGCCCACCAAGGCGACGAUCCGUAGCUGGUCUGAGAGGAUGAUCAGCCACACUGGAACUGAGACACGGUCCAGACUCCUACGGGAGGCAGCAGUGGGGAAUAUUGGACAAAGGGCGCAAGCCUGAUCCAGCCAUACCGCGUGGGUGAAGAAGGCCUUCGGGUUGUAAAGCCCUUUUGUUGGGAAAGAAAAGCAGCAGGUUAAUACCCCGCUGUUCUGACGGUACCCAAAGAAUAAGCACCGGCUAACUUCGUG
rnacentral:rRNA from 1 species